UAUUGUUUUGAAUUUUAUUAUAAAUUCAAAACAAUAAUUUAAAAAUUAAAAAAAUAGUGUAGCGAUAAGUUUAGUAUUGCUAUGGCAUCUGUGUAUCGUCCAUUGAAGUUAGAGUGAUUUUCACCAAUAAGAAAAUUGACAACAAAUGCAAGCAUUAGGAGAAACUUUUAGUUUUGGAAAGUGCUGUUUAUGAGAAAAGCAUAUACUGAAGUAACUUUGAAGUUGUGUGAGGGGCAAGGAGUUUAGAUGUAAAGUACUCACAUACAAACUAAUCUGGCUUUGGCUAGUCAAUAUACUACAGGAAUUAAUAAUAAAAAUAACUUUCAGAAGAUUACCAAUACUUUCUUCCUGUCAUCUUCAAAAUAUUUGAAAAAUUAAUUUACUGUGGAUUAGUGAAAUAAAAACGUUGUUUAAGACGAAUUUUUACUACAUUUAUAAAGUGUUACUUUAUAAGGCAUAAAAUUAGCAGUAAUUUUUGUUUGACAAUUACUGUUUUCACAAUUUUUUUAAACCCAAUCAUUUUGGUUCAAUUCAAUUUAUUAAAAAGUAAAAAACAGUUUGAGUCUUCAACGGUUGAAAUUAUUUUUUAAACUUCGUUGAAGAAACAGUCAUUGCUCUAAAUUAUAAAGCAUAAAUUGAGAUCGACCUGAUGAAAGAUGGUAUUAUUUAUAUAUGUGAUAAUUAAUAAAAGACAAUUAGUUUUUAAAUGAUCAGAUGAAUGCUGGCCUUUAUUAUAUGGCUGAUUUUGUUACAUUAACUAUGCACAAAAUAUAAUAAUAUUUUGUGCAUAGUUAAUGUAACAAAAUCAGUCUCUUUGUUCCAAAAAUAAAAUUUAUGUUUCGCAUAGUAAAUUGGAUUUUUUUACUCUUGCAUUUCCUUCGUUUUUGUUAAAUAUUGUUUUGUAAAAUUUAUUGUCUCGUUAAUAUAAUAUGAAUGUGCAGACAAUAUUUUUUUAAUUCGCAUUUUAUAUUUGUUAUAAAUGAUAGAGCUUA